GACGAACGCUGGCGGCGUGCUUAACACAUGCCAGUCGAACGGAAAGGCCCUGCUUUUGUGGGGUGCUCGAGUGGCGAACGGGUGAGUAACACGUGAGUAACCUGCCCUUGACUUUGGGAUAACUUCAGGAAACUGGGGCUAAUACCGGAUAGGAGCUCCUGCUGCAUGGUGGGGGUUGGAAAGUUUCGGCGGUUGGGGAUGGACUCGCGGCUUAUCAGCUUGUUGGUGGGGUAGUGGCUUACCAAGGCUUUGACGGGUAGCCGGCCUGAGAGGGUGACCGGCCACAUUGGGACUGAGAUGCGGCCCAGACUCCUACGUGAGGCAGCAGUGGAGAAUAUUGCACAAUGGGCGGAAGCCUGAUGCAGCAACGCCGCGUGCGGGAUAACGGCCUUCUGGUUGUAAACCGCUUUCGCCUGUAACGAAGCGUGAGUGACGGUAAUGGGUAAAGAAGCACCGGCUAACUACGUG
rnacentral:rRNA from 1 species